UUCCAAUCAGCGCACCUGCUACUCAUCCUGCUCCAUCAUCUGCCUUCAGUUGCUUACCACUGAAAAUAACCCACCUUCGGAGUCCUCUGCUGCCAAUAGCCACGCCACGCACUGGAACAUCAAGUCUGCAGCCACACUGAGGAACACAGCCCAGCACCCCCUCUGCUAGCCCUGCAUUCUUUGGACCCAGCACCCCCACUGCCAGUCCAGCCAUCUUUGGACCCAGCACCCCCACUGCCAGUCCAGCCAUCUUCGGACCCAGCACCCCCACUGCCAGCCCACACUCACAGCUUCAAUAAAAUAAUAAU